AGAGCCUCUUCUGUGACUACAGACUGUAUAUGCAGGAAAACUCUACUUUUAUUUGAGAAUGUCCUGAUGAAGUCUGGGGACAUCGCUCAGGAGUUAAAAUGCUUGCCCUACAAGCAUGGAGGCUGGAGUCCACAUAAAUGCCAGCUCCUAGGUGGACUCUUCCUGUCUGUCUAAUGGCCUGUUCAACAAAAUGAGAGGGGCACCUCUGAAGAUGGUUGUAUGAAGAUGAAGAAACCCCAUAGAUUUCACAAGCAUCUCUACAAGGACUUCCUGUUUUCCGCCUCUCCAUUUGCCAGACUCAGCCCAUUAACUGUGGGUCAGCUUUGGUCAAAAGCUUUCUAGCGGACUUCUCUAUUAGCCUGUGGGUCAAGCCUUAUCUUCUUUAGUGAGGACUGAGUCCCAGAGGCACAUGCCUUGAGCACCCUACCACCUGAAGAUUGUUGGUGAGAUCAGAGGUGAUAUUAGCAAACGUGAUUUUCCAAUACUGAACCAUGAAAUAUGUCACCGUUUGCAAAAAUAAGUGCAGCACAGGUAACCGAUAUUUCCAGGUGAUCAAUUCAUGGUGUAAAAUUCCAUCAAAGAAUAAGACGGAUCAAUGGAUUUUAAUGUAACAGCAUAUUAAAAGGUUUCCAAGCUGUAACUCAAUUUAAGAAACUGCCAUUUGUUGAAUGUUGAUAUAAUUUCCAUGAAAACCCGCACUUAACAGAAUGCAAUCAAAGCAAAUCCUUUUCUAACUCUUUGUCUGUGUGAGGCCAUGUUGGAUUCGUAUACUCACACAAAACAAUAUCACAACAGACUAUCUAAACUUUGCUAUAGCCACUGAGCUAAUUUCUAUUAAGACAGACACUCAAGAGAUUUUUGAAAUUGAAAAACUCAAUGUCCUGGGCAUUGUGGUGCACACCUACAUGGCAGCGGCCAGCACUUGGGGAACAGAGGUAAAAGGACCAAGGCCAACCUUGGGCUAAUAAAGAGAGUUCAAGACCAGCCUGGGCCAUAUAACACUGUGUCUCAAAAUCAGGUCACUGUUCUUGCUAAUUUUGUUUUGAGAACUAAAAAAACAAAA